AAAGGCGAAAAGAACCCCGGGAGGGGAGUGAAAAAGAACCUGAAACCGUGUACGUACAAGCAGUGGGAGCCCCACCACCAAAGCAUUCUCUGGUGUUGAAGGCCCUGCAAAGCAGCAUCGCGGUGGCGGAGCGUCGUUUGCGACGCCCAACACACAAAACAAGCGGUGAAUGCUUUGGGGUGGGGUGACUGCGUACCUUUUGUAUAAUGGGUCAGCGACUUAUAUUCUGUAGCAAGGUUAACCGAAUAGGGGAGCCGGAGGGAAA
rnacentral:rRNA from 1 species